rnacentral:rRNA from 1 species
GAUGAACGCUGGCGGCGUGCUUAACACAUGCAAGUCGAACGAGAAAUGUAGACGGAAACCUUCGGGCGGAAGCCUUCAUUUCGAGUGGCGGACGGGUGAGUAACGCGUGGGUAACCUGCCUCAUACAGGGGGAUAACAGUUGGAAACGACUGUUAAUACCGCAUAAGACCACAGCAUCGCAUGAUGCGGGGGUAAAAACUCCGGUGGUAAGAGAUGGACCCGCGUUCGAUUAGCCAGUUGGCGGGGUAACGGCCCACCAAAGCGACGAUCGAUAGCCGAUCUGAGAGGAUGACCGGCCACAUUGGGACUGAGACACGGCCCAAACUCCUACGGGAGGCAGCAGUGGGGAAUAUUGCACAAUGGGGGAAACCCUGAUGCAGCGACGCCGCGUGAGUGAAGAAGUACUUCGGUAUGUAAAGCUCUAUCAGCAGGGAAGAAAAUGACGGUACCUGAGUAAGAAGCCCCGGCUAACUACGUG